GCCCCAGUAGCUCAGCGGAUAGAGCAGCCGCCUUCUAAGCGGCAGGUCGCAGGUUCGAAACCUGCCUGGGGUA
rnacentral:tRNA from 1 species